rnacentral:rRNA from 1 species
AAAUUGAAGAGUUUGAUCAUGGCUCAGAUUGAACGCUGGCGGCAGGCCUAACACAUGCAAGUCGAACGGUAACAGGAAGCAGCUUGCUGCUUUGCUGACGAGUGGCGGACGGGUGAGUAAUGUCUGGGAAACUGCCUGAUGGAGGGGGAUAACUACUGGAAACGGUAGCUAAUACCGCAUAACGUCGCAAGACCAAAGAGGGGGACCUUAGGGC